GGGCCCGUAGCUCAUUGUUAGAGCGUUCGUCUCAAUAGCCAAAGGUCGCGGGUUCGAAUCCCAGGUGGUCCA
rnacentral:tRNA from 1 species